GUAAUGUUCACUCAGCAGAAAGGUAUUGCACCUCAUAUGGGUUAGGCUAAGGAUAAAAAGAGGAAAGACAAAUUCAUUUUCCUAAAACUCAGUUAAGGGGAGCGAGUGUGAGAAAAAACUGAUGGAACUACACAUAUUGAAGUUUUGAAUUAAAUAAUUUUCCUCAAGUUGCCACACAACUUUUGUUUACUAUUAUGUUUUCUGUAGAGACACGCUCUCAGUAUGUUGCUCAGAUUGGUCUUGGAUUCCUGGCCUCAAGCAAUCCUCCUGCCUCAGCCUCCCAAAGUGCUGGAAUGACAGGCAUGAGAA
rnacentral:lncRNA from 10 species